rnacentral:rRNA from 1 species
AUGGCGAAGGAGGUGGAGGAUACCGGUUUCAAGCUGUGGUACACGGGGACGGCUGCAAAAAGAAAUGGCGUAGGCAUCUUGAUCAACAAGAGCCUCAAGUAUGGGGUGGUAGACGUCAAGAGACGUGGGGACCGGGUUAUCCUGGUCAAGCUGGUAGUUGGGGAUUUAGUUCUCAGUGUUAUCAGUGCGUAUGCCCCGCAAGUAGGCCACAAUGAGAACACCAAGAGGGAGUUCUGGGAAGGCCUGGAAGACAUGGUUAGGAGUGUACCGAUUGGCGAGAAGCUCUUCAUAGGAGGAGACCUCAAUGGCCACGUGGGUACAUCUAACACAGGUUUUGAAGGGGUGCAUGGGGGCUUUGGCUAUGGCAUCAGGAAUCAAGAAGAUGUCUUAAGCUUUGCUCUAGCCUACGACAUGAUUGUAGCAAACACCCUCUUUAGAAAGAAAGAAUCACAUCUGGUGACUUUUAGUAGUGGCCAACACUCUAGCCAGAUUGAUUUCAUCCUCUCGAGAAGAGAAGAUACGCAUGCGUGCCUAGACUGUAAUGUGAUACCAGAGAGAGUGUUGUACCUCAACAUAAGCUGCUGGUUGCUGACUUCCGCUUUCGGAGUCGUGUUCAGCGGGAUAAGCGUGCCAAAGUCGCUAGAACGAAGUGGUGGAAGCUCAAGGGGGAGGUAG